AAGGCUUUAGCUUAAUUAAAGUGUCUGUUUUGCAUGCAGAAGAUGUGGGUUAGAAUCCUGUUAGUCUUA
rnacentral:tRNA from 1 species